GACGAACGCUGGCGGCGUGCUUAACACAUGCAAGUCGAGCGGUAAGGCCCUUUCGGGGGUACACGAGCGGCGAACGGGUGAGUAACACGUGGGUGACCUGCCCUCAGCUCUGGGAUAAGCCUGGGAAACUGGGUCUAAUACUGGAUAUGACUCCACGGUGCAUGUCGUGGGGUGGAAAGCCUUGUGCGGCUGAGGAUGGG
rnacentral:rRNA from 1 species